GCCUGGGUGGCUCAGUCGGUUGAGCAUCUGACUUAGGCUCAGGUCAUGAUCUCGCGGUCCGUGAGUUCGAGCCCCGCGUCGGGCU
rnacentral:tRNA from 1 species